UACGGAGGGGGCUAGCGUUGUUCGGAAUUACUGGGCGUAAAGCGCGCGUAGGCGGCUUUGUAAGUUAGAGGUGAAAGCCCAGGGCUUAACCCUGGAAUUGCCUUUAAGGCUGCAUCGCUAGAAUCGUGGAGAGGUGAGUGGAAUUCCGAGUGUAGAGGUGAAAUUCGUAGAUAUUCGGAAGAACACCAGUGGCGAAGGCGACUCACUGGACACGUAUUGACGCUGAGGUGCGAAAGCGUGGGGAGCAAACAGG
rnacentral:rRNA from 1 species